GACGAACGCUGGCGGCGUGCUUAACACAUGCAAGUCGAACGGAAAGGCCCUGCUUUUGUGGGGUGCUCGAGUGGCGAACGGGUGAGUAACACGUGAGUAACCUGCCCUUGACUUUGGGAUAACUUCAGGAAACUGGGGCUAAUACCGGAUAGGAGCUCCUGCUGCAUGGUGGGGGUUGGAAAGUUUCGGCGGUUGGGGAUGGACUCGCGGCUUAUCAGCUUGUUGGUGGGGUAGUGGCUUACCAAGGCUUUGACGGGUAGCCGGCCUGAGAGGGUGGCCGGCCACAUUGGGACUGAGAUACGGCCCAGACUCCUACGGGAGGCAGCAGUGGGGAAUAUUGCACAAUGGGCGGAAGCCUGAUGCAGCAACGCCGCGUGCGGGAUGACGGCCUUCGGGUUGUAAACCGCUUUCGCCUGUGACGAAGCGCGAGUGACGGUAAUGGGUAAAGAAGCACCGGCUAACUACGUG
rnacentral:rRNA from 1 species